UCCGCCAUGUUGGACUGAAGGCGAGUAACCUGCUAUCAAAACCCUGAUGACACCGUAAAACGUCCCGCCUACAAAGUGCCGUACAAAAAUGUGUCGGGUGAUGGCUGCAGUUUCUUAGAAAGUCUUCAUCUUCCUCCACCUCCUCCUCACAUCCACAGCCCCCAGCUGUGCACAAGAUGGAGGAGACCUUGAGAUAAUCCUGCCCUGCAUCUGAUUACAAAUGUGAGGAUGCAAUCUUCAAAUCCCUGCUCUGUAACGUAGAGAGGAGCUGGUUAGUGGUUGGCUUAUCCAGCUGUAGUGGAAGACGGAUAAAGGGGGAGGGGGAAUGAUAAUGAGAGGAGAUAGUCAGGCAGCAAGCGUCAUUGUCCCUCCACCUGGGAAGAAGGGAGCAGGGGGUGAUGCAUGAAUGAAUGUGUGCA